GGGCAGAUGGCCGAGUGGUUAAGGCGCCAGCUUCAGGUGCUGGUCACGCAAGUGGCGUGGGUUCGAACCCCACUCUGCUCA